UGCCUCUGGGGGCUACUGACAUGAAAUGCAUAAUACACAUAUAUACAUAAAAUUUUAAAAACAUACGCCUCUGUAGGCAUCAUCAUCAUCAUCAUAUCGUACCCGACCUCAAAGAGGACUCGGUAAAAACGUACCUGACCAUCAUAAGGCUCGGUAGAAUCGUACCCGGCCACGUGGAGCUCGGUAAAUCCAACUGAUCAGUGGUUGCACAAUAGGUAUCGUACCCGGCCUACUAUAGCACGACUCGGUAGAGUAAAAUAGAUACUAUAUAUAAUGCAUGCUAGACUCAUGUAAUCACGUUCUAAACCUUUUGGAGUGACUUAAGGUCAUUGCACCUUCGAUUAACAUUAUGGACAUCAUACCAUCAAUAUGAUAUUCUAUAGGAUUCAAGGAUCAUACAUACUUGCUUAAAAUAACUUUAUAAGGAAAGAACAACAUGGACAACCUUAGUUUCUAGGAGUAGAUCUGUUACGAAAUAGCAUAUUCAUUUCACUUUAGAUCAUGCCAAAAGAAACAAGGAAGUGCCUUAACAUACCUUAACCAUGGUGAGUCCUUAAUACCUCCCAAACUAAUCUUCAAACAACUCAACUCAAUCUACCAUUGCAUAAGGAGAUUCAAAAUCAGUGUUGAAUAAAGGCCAAGUUUGCAACUUAAACUUGUAGUUCGUUUAUAUAAAUUCGGGCAGCAUCUCCCCUAAAACAAGAGCCUCCUCCAAUACCAUAUACCAACAACAAUUACCAAAGAAAUCCAACAAUACAUAAUUAUCAAUAACAAGACACCAUAAAACAACAACAAGUCAUAACUAUUUUACGACGAGCGACAAGCUUCAAUUGGAAUUUGUAUACCCCAUAUCAUCCCUUAUAGACUUUUUACUUUAACUUAAUAGUAUCAUAAACAUGAUAAUGAAGUCAUUCAUCAAUAAUUCCAGCCUUAUACCAUAUAUCUAUAGCAAAGAAAAUGAUCCACAACUCCAAUUAUUCUUAAUUAGCAACUUUAUACACUAGUUCAUGUCUAGUUCAUCCAUUUAACUUAACCAAUGCCAAGAUAACCUUAAGCGCCUGUAGGAACACAAUAUAAUUACCUCCUACAGUGGAUGCAAGUCGAAAUCAAUGUUAUAUUUAGAUUACAAAAGCCCAACACACCCCAAUCAAUUCAUACCAAAAACGACGACUAUAGUAGUGUCCAACGCCCCAAAAAUAUUACAAAGAAUGACUAAUACAUCAUUUAGCCAUUAGGUGGCAUUUUUCUACAUAAUUUAUCUUCCAAAAACUCCAUUAAAUAGCAGCAAAAUAUACAGCCCAAAAGCUACACGAAACAACCCACAAAAUAGUCCAUUACAAAUCAAAUAACUCGAACUCACGGCUUCUGAUCACCGUCCCGUGAGUUCUAACUAUUAUGAAAUAAAUUAAUCAAUCUUCCUUGAUGUUUAAGAGCUCGAAACCAAAAAUUACGAAUUUUUAUUAACUUCAAAAUACCUUCCAAAAUUCAAACUACAAAGAAAAAGAGAGGCUAUAUAGCGAUACUUACGUCGUGGGGAUCGUUCUUGUGUUAUUGCUUCGUGAUUUCGUGUCUCGGACGAUAAUCUUAUUGGAUAACCUUGUGGACAGAUUAAGGGUGAGGUUAGGGGUCUUAUUUGAUCAAGCUCUCUGGAAUUAUGAAGAAAGAG
rnacentral:lncRNA from 1 species